AAGACUAUAUUUUCAGGGAUCAUUUCUAUAAUUAUUUAUUUUGAACUGUGUUUUGAAAGUGAUUGUCUCUCAACCCAUGAUGAAGAGCUGUAAUCAUACUUUCUAAGAGUGAGUUGAGACCGGAACUAUGAUUUUGAUCACAAGUUCUGUCAUUGAUGAGUGUUUAUAUUGCUUUUGGCAAUAUUCAUGUAAGAAGUAUGAUCUGAGUGGU
ensembl:snoRNA U3 Small nucleolar RNA U3